GAUGAACGCUGGCGGCGUGCCUAAUACAUGCAAGUCGAGCGAACAGACGAGGAGCUUGCUCCUCUGACGUUAGCAGCGGACGGGUGCGUAACACGUGGAUAACCUACCUAUAAGACUGGGAUAACUUCGGGAAACCGGAACGAAUACCGGAUAAUAUAUUGAACCGCAUUGUUCAAUAGUGAAAGACGGUUUUGCUGUCACUUAUAGAUGGCUCCGCGCCGCAUUAGCUAGUUGGUAAGGUAACGGCUUACCAAGGCUACGAUGCGUAGCCGACCUGAAAGGGUGGUCCGCCAGCCUGGAACUGAGAAACGGCACAGACUCCUACGGUAGGAAGCAGUAGGGAAUCUUACGGAAUGGGGGAAAGCGGGACGGAGCAACACCGCGUGAGUGAUGAAGGUCUUCGGAUCGUAAAACUCUGUUAUUAGGGAAGAACAAAUGUGUAAGUAACUAUGAACGUCUUGACGGUACCUAAUCAGAAAGCCCCGGCUAACUACGUG
rnacentral:rRNA from 1 species